GUAGAAGGGAAUGAAUAAUCGAAAAGAAGAGUGAAACGCAAACCUCACAAAAUCCCAUUCCUACUUCUUCUUCUUCUUCUUCUUCUUCUUCUUCUUCUUCUUCUCUGUUCUCGCGCCGUUUCUAUUCUACCUUCUGCAACCUCAAAAUCCCCCUAUUCCUCUCUGUUUUCUCCUCCAUUUUUCGUUUCCGUCAUGACCCUUUUUCUCUUUUCCCCUUUCUUCUUCUUCUUCUUCAUCUUCUUUGCUUCCCCUCUCAUCGCCGCUCCUGACCCCUCCACCAUUUACGACCAUCUCCACCUUCACGGCCUCCCCAUCGGCCUCCUUCCAAAGAACAUCACUAAAUUCUCAAUUGAUUCUUCCACCGGCCGUUUCCAUGUCUUCCUCGAUCAACCCUGCAAUGCCAAGUUCGAGAAUGAGGUUCACUAUGAUUUCAACGUCUCUGGCAGGCUCUCCUACGGACAGAUCGCUGAAUUGGCUGGAAUUUCCUCCCAAGAGCUCUUUCUUUGGUUUCCUGUUAAGGGAAUUCGUGUCGAUUUGUCCUCUUCUGGUGUAAUUCAUUUCGACGUCGGCGUUGUUGACAAGCAAUUCUCUCUUUCCCUCUUUGAGUCCCCCCCUGAUUGCACUGCAGCUGAUCCGGUUGAUCAAUCCUUCGCCUUCAAUGCUGCCUCUCUUGAUACGGAUCGCCCUUUUUCGACGAAGGAAGCACAGAAUCUCCAGCUUGAAGACAGUGAACUAAGGGCAACAUCAUAGAUUAGCGAUAAAGAAAUGCUGCGGAUUUUCCAUGGAUUUUGUUUCGAGAGAGUCUGGCUUCACUGGUCCGGUACAGAUCCAUAUUAAUCUUCAGCAAUCAUUUACAGUUAUUAUUAUGAAGCUUAAGACCAUAAAUUAUCCAAAUCAAUGUCUAUUUUUGUAGAAGAAUAAUGAAAAGGAAUUGUAUUAGGUACAAGAGUGAGGAGGAUUCUAUUUUGUGAAAGGACCAGUUGGUGAAGAUUAAGAAAAAAGGCAAUUCAAUUGGCCAUAAGUAAGGAAUAGAUAGAUGAUGGUAUUGUGUACAAUAAUUUACUUUAUAGACACUAAUCUUAUUAUAGGUAUUUCAAAUGUCUUGGGGUUCUUUUCUUGUCUUAAAAACUCUCAUACCUUUCCUUCCAAGUCUCAAAAUUAUUGUAUAAUAGUCAACACAGUACCAACCUUCCACAAGAAGGGUGUUGAAGAGAUGUUUUAGAGUUCCUUUUUUUUUUUCUCUCUUCUCCCGUUAAUUACCUGUUCAAAUUUAGUUUGUAUGUUUGGUCCCUUAAAUUUAAAUAGUAUAUGUUAGGUUUCUGAAUCUUCAAAUUUGUAUAUAAUAUCUAAUAGCUUUAAAUUGGAUAUC